CUCCAGCCCUCCCGGCCUUAGAUCUCACAGCCCCUGUGCUUCCAGCCCUCCUGGCCUUCCCGGCCCUGCUGCUUCCCACCUCAGAUUUCCAGGGCCUCAGUGUGACCUCCUCCUGCCCACCAUCGCCUGAGAAAUGGAGCCCCACCGUGGUCCCAAAACCAAGCAGUUUUAUUUAAACGAGAACGCAGGGAUCCAGGAAUCUGAUACAUCCUGUCAUGGCAUUCCAGCUGGAAGCCUGGCCACAUGCUCUUUGCUUAAUGCCUGUAAAUCCACAGCCGUGCUCCGCGUUGCUCCUCCUCGCGGCUCGGAUGGAUUCAUGGAUCGGGAGGAAAGGAGAGUGUUAGGAGUGCCCCAGGUGUGUCCUGUCUGUGCUGCAGAGCCCAGGGGUGCAGGUACCUGCACGGGGGGCAGGCACAACCAGCAGCCCUCGUUCCCAAACAGCCCUUGUGGAACUUCCCUCGGCCCUGCUGGCACGGCCGUGGCUGUGCUGUGCUCCUCUGCAGUCACUCCCGAGCCUCUUCCCAACGUUCCCGGCUCUCUGGCAGCUCACCUUCCUCCCCUUGCCAUUCUCCCAGUCGCUUUAUUACUCCCUAAGCGUGCUACGAGCUCUGUGGUCGAUACCUCUUCCCACCUGUCCCGGGUUUUCCCCCGCAGGAGUCCUGUCUGCUGAGUAAUGCCCGUCCUGUCAUUCCCCAGGAGCUCCAUUUCCCCGGCACACGCGGAUCUUGCAUCUCCGUGACUCAUCUCUUUCCGAAUCCUCUGCAUCCAAGCAGCAGCAUGCUGGGGGUGAUAGUAAAUCUCGGAGUGAAGGCAGGAUUUUAUGGAUGUGCUGAUUCAUCUUUCCUGGGAGCAGAGCUCUGUUAUGUAAAUGCCAACAGCAGCCGUGGCAGAGAGGAGGGAGAACGGACUAAUGAGCCAGAGAAGGAUUCAGGAGCAGAAAUGCUUUAAGGAUUGGAACAGUUUCUUUCCGUACUGUUCUUUAAAUAAAUAGAAAUUGAAGUUUUUAAGGGAUUUUAGG
rnacentral:lncRNA from 1 species